UUACUUAAUUGGACGAUGUCAAUUGGAGAUCAAGAAGAUGCAUAGUCUAGGUCUGGUGAUCUCCAUUACACUUCGAAGGGUGCCCGCCUAAAGUCGACCUAAGUGAUCGAGCUUGUGUCAUAAUUUGUGGUAGCUAGGGUCAACGUUCACACGGCCCUUG